GCCAGAAAGAGGGAUUCCGACCCCACCCCGACCGUUUUCUUCUCUCUCUCUGACCAUUUUGAAUUGGGGUGUGUGUGUGUGUGUGUUUUAAAGCACUGCCUCCCCCUUUAGAAGAGUCCCCCCCAGUAUAGAUGGGGCGGGGGGGGUACUAAGCAAGGGGUCCUGGUGUAGGAGGUGAGCACAACGUUGAAGGAGAUUGAUGUCAAGCCCCAGCCGCCAUUGGAACUGCAGAGUUUUUUUCUUCUCCCCCCCAUCUUUUGCAGCACCGAUGGGGGGGGGAGCUUAUGACACCCCCAUCAUUGAGGAUGCUACUCCCCUGGUGGAGACCCAAAGAUGUAUUCACUGAAUGUUUAUCCCUGUGAUAACUGAUGGCGUUCAAACAAUCUAUAGAAUCUAUUUUCAAUAGAUUGCUCGGGUUUCUGCUAGCUGGGCGUUCCAUAUGGUGUUAGAAGAGGAAAUGCAGAAUCCUGUAAACUGUUUCAGAUAAAAUCGAUGGAUUGAGCGUAUGAAAUUCCUGAGGCUGGCUGAAGCACUGAAUCCAGACAAAGGAAGAAUCUCAAAGGGAGACUACGAGUUCCAAAUCAAGAUGGCAAUUCCACUGAUUGAGAGGUUGAGAAAAUGAACUAAUGCAUGGUUGCAGAGUAUAUCCAUCCAAGACAGGGGCACUUUAGCAUGGACUACGCUGUUUUCUAAGCCAAAGAAGAUUGGGCCUUAUGGCCAUCUCAUUAAUAAUUUUUUUCACAAUUAAAUGUUUUGAGUCUUGUAUUAAUAACUCAUUUGGGGAGGUGAAAGCGGCUUACUGAAUUCUGGUAACCAGGAAUGUGUACAUACAUGUUUGGCCCAUGUCUGUUGGCAAAAGUGCAAUUCAAUCU